UUCUGUUGAAACACCAGUUCUCGUCACUGAAGUUAAGCAAUGUCGAGCCUGGUCAGUACCAAGAUGAGUGACCAUUUGGGAAUAUUGGUGCUGUAA